rnacentral:rRNA from 1 species
AUUGAACGCUGGCGGCAGGCCUAACACAUGCAAGUCGAACGAGUGGCGGACGGGUUAGUAAUGUCUGGGAAACUGCCUGAUGGAUGGGGAUAACUACUGGAAACUGUAGCUAAUACCGCAUACCUUCCGAUGUGCCCAGAUGGGUUUAUAUUGUUGGUGGGGUAACGGCUAACCAAGGCGACGAUCCCUAGCUGGUCUGAGAGGAUGACCAGCAAAACUGGAACUGAGACACGGUCCAGACUCCUACGGGAGGCAGAAGUGGGGAAUAUUGGACAAUGGGCGAAAGCCUGAUGCAGCCAGGCCGCGUGUAUGAAGAAGGCCUUCGGGUUGUAAAGUACUUUCAGCGGGGAGGCGUUACCCGCAGAAGAAGCACCGGCUAACUCCGUGCCAGCCGCCGCGGUAAUUC